CCCGGCUUUCCCGCCGUGGUGCCCGGGUCCGCGUCCCCCGCCCGCUCGCUCGCUGUGCUCCAUUCGGACCGGAGGGAGGCUCGGCCAGGCGGGCCCGGGAGCCGAUCCGCGUCCUCCCCUAGAUGGCGAGGCAGUCGAUUAUGCCAGAGCCACCCAGCGAAUGUGUCUGGAGCCAGGACAGAACCAGACGGAGCCUGGCCUAUGGAGCGAGGGCUGCAGCCCCAGGGGCAGUCGCCCAGCGGUUCCACACGGUCUUUGUAGUUUACCUCCCUGAGCCAGCUCUGCUCUAGUGAUUAUAGAAGGGCUGGUUCAUCCCUGUUUCACAGUGGCCCUGGAAGACCUGCUUCUGACCUCUUGUAGAUGAGCCAAUGCAAGCCUGGGGGGUGGCUGAUGACUUGAAGUCACUCAGCUCUACUGAGAGCUGGUGAACCCAGGGGUCCGGACUCCCAGCCUAGUGUAUUUCGGACAAGAGGCCUGCGGAAGUGGGAUAUGGAGCCUAAUCUUGCCAACCACUCUGCCACACAGGUCCUCUGUCUUUUUGCCUGGAGGCCAGAAUUCCAGCCCACCUCACCUGAGAAAUGCGAAAGCUGCGAUGUUGGCUGCAUUUAAUUAAAACAUGCUCUCAGUCUUUAAAAAAAAAAAAAAAAAUUCAGAGUUUGUGUUGGAUUUGACAAAACUGGGGUCCUAUUAAGAUCAUCAUUUUUUUUUUUUUCUGUAACUUAGACAACCCAACAAUACAGGUCUCAUCUGAUUGUUGUGGCUGCAAGAGCAGAGGCCUAGUCUUUUUCAUGGUCUUGGUACUGUAUCUGCGGUGCCUGGGACUCUGAUGUUCAAAAUCUUCUUUUGAAUGAAUGAAUUGAUUUAUAGACUGGAAAUCUGAGAUUUAGGUUGACUUACUGGAGUAAGGCCCUGUAAUAGUGACAGAGCUGAGACUCAAAAUGAUGUUUUCUGACACAGAGAUACAGGCCCUUUCUAAUCCAUACUGUCUCAGGAUCAGAUUGUUCAAACUGAAGAAGCGGACCUCGGGGACCACCGAAUCCAUCCCCAUCAUUUCCCAAUGAAGACGUGAGCUGGAAGCCUAACACAAAUCCUUGUUUUAAGAUGGGGUCGUGCUAUGUUGCUCGGCUGGUCUUGAAUUCCUCCUGCCUCAACCUCCAGAGUAUUUUGGACUACGGGUUCACACCACCAUGCCCAGCUUUGUACUAUUAGUAUUAGUCAACUCCUCUCCUUCAGUCUCCUCAGACAAGCCUAAACCACAGCCCUGAUUAGAGAGAGAGAGAGAGAAAAUUUCAAUAUUUAUUUUUCAGUUUUCGGCGGACACAACAUCUUUGUUUGUAUGUGGUGCUGAGGAUCGAACCCGGGCCGCACGCAUGCCAGGCGAGCGCGCUACCGCUUGAGCCACAUCCCCAGCCCCUGGCUUUAAAUUCUUGAUCCUCCUGUCUUGGCCUCCUGAGUCACUGGGAUUAUAGGCACGUGCCAUUGUGCCUGGCUUAAUACUUCAUUUCUUGAAAUCAACUUUUUUAUUGAGGUAUAAAUUGCAUACCAUGAAUGAGUUAAACAUCAUUACCUUAAGUACAUGUAUGAAGACACAAAUGGUGUGAACAUACUUUGUGUACAAUCAGUGACUUGAAAAAUUGUGCUCUAUUUAUGAAUGAAAUGAAUUGUAUUCUUCCAUCAUGUAUAACAAAUUAGAAUAAAUAAAUAAUAAUAAUAAAUAAAUUGCAUACCAUAAAAUUUACCCCUUGUUUAUUUGGUGCUGGGGAUAGAACUCAGGGUCUCAUGCAUGCUAAGCACAUGUUCUACCACUUAGCUACACCCCCAGUUUCCAAAUUCACUAUUUAAAAUGUAUAGAUCAGUAUUUUUUUUUUUUUUAGAGAGAGAGAGAGAAUUUUAAUAUUUAUUUUUUAGUUAUCGGUGGGCACAACAUCUUUGUUUGUAUGUGGUGCUGAGGAUCCAACCUGGACCGCACGCAUGCCAGCCGGGCACGCUACCGCUUGAGCCAUAUCCCCAGCCCCUAGAUUAGUAGUUUAUAUGCCAUUCACAAGACUGUGCAAUUAGCACCACUGUCUAAUUCCAGAACAUUUUUAUCAUUCCCUAAAUUAACUUGCAUACCCAUCAGUGGUCACUGCCCACAUCCCUGCCCUUCAGCUUCUGACCACUACUAAUUUGCCUCUGUCUAUUCUUUUGAAUCUGGCUUAUUUCACUUAACAUGAUGUUUUCGGAGCUAAUCCCAGUUGUGGCAUUUAUCAGUACUUUGUUUCUUUUUACAUUGGAACAAUAUCCUGUUGCAUGGGCAAACCAUAUUAAACCCAGGAGCAUUCUACCACUGAGCUACGUUUCUAGCCCUUUCUAUUUUUUUUUUUUUUUUUGAGACAGGAUCUUACUUAAUUGCUUAGGGCCUCACUAAUUGCUGAGGCUGGCCUGGGACUUGCAACCUUUCCACCUCAGCUUUCCAAAUUGCUGGAAUUAUGGUGUGCACCAUUGCACCUGGCUCUGCUAUGAACAUUGUGUUUUUUUUUUUUUUUUUUAAAGUUGUUGAUGAACCUUUGUUUAAUUUAUUUAUUUAUAUGUGAUGCAGAUAAUUGAACCCAGUGCCUCACACAUGCCAGGCAAGCCUCUACCACUCAGCCACAACCCCAGAUCCUGUUAUGAACGUUUGUAUAAGCAUUUUUGUGCAAAUAUAUCUAGAGUUCUCUUGGAUGUAUAUCUACAAGUGAAAUUGCUGGAUCGUAUGCUAACUCUAUGUUUAAUUUUUUAAGGAGCUGUCAAACUGUUUUCUAUACCAGCUGCACUGUUUUACACCACUACCAGCAGGAUAUGGGAGUUUCAAUUUUCCUAAGUCUCUACCAACUCUUAUUAUUAUCUGACUUUUUUGUUAUAUUCUUUCUAGUAGAUGUGAAGGGGUAUGCUUAUUGGCCAUCUGAAUAUCUUUUUUGGAGAGAUGUCUAUCCAGUCCCUUCCUUGUUUCUCUUUCUCUCUCUCUCUCUCUCUCUCUCUCUCUCUCUCUCUCUCUCUCUCUCUCUCUUUCCUGGUACUGGGAAUGAAACCCACAGGUACUCUACCACUGAGCCAC